rfam:Archaeoglobus profundus DSM 5631, complete genome.
GCGCGGGUAGUCUAGCCUGGUAGGACAACGCCCUUCCGAGGCGUUAGCCCGGGUUCAAAUCCCGGCCCGCGCA